rnacentral:lncRNA from 1 species
AAAUCUUCUUCACAUAUCUUCACAACAUUUUUCCCAUCGCGCAAAGUAGGAGGAACAAAGGAGAUAGUCUUACCCUUCUGCAUGUCACUGUUGCCUUUGACUACCUCUACAAUAGUUGGUUUUGGUUUUACUGGUUCAAUUACUUCAACAGGUACUGGUACUGGUGGAUCCAAUACUGCUGAAAAUUGUAAUCUCCUUGCAGUUGCUUCAAUCGCCACUUCAUUACCCUUCGAUCUAGCCUUCUCUUCAUCUGCAUGC